AAUAGAUACCCGGGUAGUCCACGCCGUAAACGUUGGGCGCUAGAUGUGGGAACCUUUCCACGGUUUCCGUGUCGUAGCUAACGCAUUAAGCGCCCCGCCUGGGGAGUACGGCCGCAAGGCUAAAACUCAAAGGAAUUGACGGGGGCCCGCACAAGCGGCGGAGCAUGCGGAUUAAUUCGAUGCAACGCGAAGAACCUUACCAAGGCUUGACAUACACCAGAACGCCCUAGAGAUAGGGAACUCUUUGGACACUGGUGUACAGGUGGUGCAUGGUUGUCGUCAGCUCGUGUCGUGAGAUGUUGGGUUAAGUCCCGCAACGAGCGCAACCCUCGUCGCAUGUUGCCAGCACGUUAUGGUGGGGACUCAUGUGAGACUGCCGGGUCAACUCGGAGGAAGGGUGGGGAGUGACGUCAAAUCAUCAUGCCCCUUAUGUCUUGGGCUUCACGCAUGCUACAAUGGCCGGUACAAAGGGCUGCGAUGUCGUAAGGCGGAGCGAAUCCCAAAAAGCCGGUCUCAGUUCGGAUUGAGGU
rnacentral:rRNA from 1 species